rnacentral:rRNA from 1 species
AUUGAACGCUGGCGGCACACUUAACACAUGCAAGUCGAGCGGUAACAUGACUAGUAGCAAUACUAGUUGAUGACGAGCGGCGGACGGGUGAGUAACACGUAGGAACUUGCCCAGUAGUGGGGGACAACCAAGGGAAACUUUGGCUAAUACCGCAUAUUCUCGAGAGAGGGAAGCUGCCGCAAGGUGGCGCUAUUGGAGAGGCCUGCGUCCGAUUAGCUAGUUGGUGAGGUAAAGGCUCACCAAGGCGAGGAUCGGUAACUGGUCUGAGAGGACGACCAGUCACACUGGGACUGAGACACGGCCCAGACUCCUACGGGAGGCAGCAGUGGGGAAUCUUGGACAAUGGGGGCAACCCUGAUCCAGCGAUGCCGCGUGAGUGAAGAAGGCCUUUGGGUCGUAAAGCUCUUUAGGCUGGGAAGAAGGUUGGUAGUUUAAGAGAUAAUCAAUUUGACUGUACCAGCAGAAUAAGCACCGGCAAACUCUGCGCCAGCCGCCGCGGUAA